ACAGAASGRAGCUUGYWCCCGGAUGUUAGCGGCGGACGGGUGAGUAACAMGUGGGUAACCUGCCUGUAAGACUGGGAUAACUCCGGGAAACCGGAGCUAAUACCGGAUAGUUCCUUGAACCGCAUGGUUCAAGGAUGAAAGACGGUUUCGGCUGUCACUUACAGAUGGACCCGCGGCGCAUUAGCUAGUUGGUGGGGUAAUGGCUCACCAAGGCGACGAUGCGUAGCCGACCUGAGAGGGUGAUCGGCCACACUGGGACUGAGACACGGCCCAGACUCCUACGGGAGGCAGCAGUAGGGAAUCUUCCGCAAUGGACGAAAGUCUGACGGAGCAACGCCGCGUGAGUGAUGAAGGUUUUCGGAUCGUAAAGCUCUGUUGUUAGGGAAGAACAAGUGCGAGAGUAACUGCUCGCACCUUGACGGUACCUAACCAGAAAGCCACGGCUAACUACGUGCCAGCAGCCGCGGUAAUACGUAGGUGGCAAGCGUUGUCCGGAAUUAUUGGGCGUAAAGGGCUCGCAGGCGGUUUCUUAAGUCUGAUGUGAAAGCCCCCGGCUCAACCGGGGAGGGUCAUUGGAAACUGGGAAACUUUGAGUGCAGAAGAGGAGAGUGGAAUUCCACGUGUAGCGGUGAAAUGCGUASAGAUGUGGAGGAACACCAGUGGGCGAAARGCGACUCUCUGGUCUGUAACUGACGCUGAGGAGCGAAAGCGUGGGGAGCG
rnacentral:rRNA from 1 species